ACGUCUUACAGACACAAGAGUUCAGUUCUCAGUGAGUCUACGUGACAGAGGAAUGGACACAUCCCUGAGCCUGCUCAUCCUUUGGUUACAACUAGACUGGGUGAGCAGUAAACAGGACGUGAGUCAGAGUCCUGAAGCUCUGAGCGUGAGAGAGGGAGACAGCUUGGUUCUCAACUGCAGUUACACCGACGGCGCUCUGUACUUCCUUCAGUGGUUCAGGCAGGAUCCCAGGAAAGGGCUCACAUCUCUAUUGUCAAUUCAGGCGAACCAGAAAGAGAAAGCAAGUGGAAGAAUUACAGUCUCAUUGGAUAAAUCAUCAAGACACAGUGCUUUAUACAUUGCAACUUCUCAGCACAGUGACUCGACCACCUACCUCUGUGCU